rnacentral:rRNA from 1 species
CAGCAGCCGCGGUAAUACGAAGGGGGCUAGCGUUGUUCGGAAUUAUUGGGCGUAAAGGGUGCGUAGGCGGUUUGGCAAGUUUGGUGUGAAAUCUUCGGGCUCAACUCGAAGUCUGCAUCGAAAACUGCCGGGCUUGAGUAUGGGAGAGGUGAGUGGAAUUUCCGGUGUAGCGGUGAAAUGCGUAGAUAUCGGAAGGAACACCUGUGGCGAAAGCGGCUCACUGGACCAUAACUGACGCUGAUGCACGAAAGCUAGGGGAGCAAACAGGAUUAGAUACCCGAGUAGUCCCUGUCUCUUAUAC